CUGUCUCUCUCUCAAAAUAUAAAUAAGCAUAAAAAUUUUUUUUAAUACAUAAAUAAAUAAAAGGAAGGAAGAAAUGCUUCCUGCUGGAAUAAGGGAGGCUCCAUGAGGAAACAGGAGCAUAAAAACUUUGUUAAAGCUCAAAAAUGCCUUUAUAGGCUCAAGUAUGUGUUAUCUUCAAGGAUGGUCAUGGAACGCUCAGACAUUCUCCAAAAAGGUUAGCCCACAGUGCUUUACCUCAUGCUUAAUGACGAUUCAUUCUCCCGCUGUCCCCAUGGAAUGGCAAGGAGCCUUGGCUGUGGGAGGCAGAUACUAGGGGUUCAAGAGUGCCAGAGGAGGUGGGGUUCAAAAGUCAGGUUAAGGUCCUCCUAACACUCAGGUUUAUAAUCAACUCAUGGUAAUCUUCUCCCUCCCAACCUAGGAAAACACACACACCCCACUUUAGACUGCUUUUUAUCACCUUUUCCCCUGGGUAGCUACCAAGUAUCAGGUGAAAUCCCUGAUUCACCUAUACUAAGACCUCCCCUGGGAGCCAAAAGCAGGGUGCCCUCUGACUCACCAGGCCCACUCCCUCCACGGCAUCCUGGGCACCCCGUCACCAUGGAAGUUCACCCGCAAAACCAUUCUCUCUCCAGACAGCCCUCCAAGGGCAUGAGGACUAAGAGUGUGAGACGUUUAGGAAAUAUGCUUGAAAAUUGAGAGUUUAAAGAAAAUCACCCCCCCCACACAAAGCAAGAUAAAUGUACCAGAAAUGAUAGGUGCACUAAUCUAGGUGAAAGUCUUUGUUUAAUUUUUUAAAUGUGUGAAAAGAAAAUAAACAAAAAACUUCAAUUCCUUCGGGCCAUCGAUUGAGAGAUGGUAGAUAGAUCCCUUUUGGUUGGGGGAUCUAAAAAGUCUUAAAAAGUCUUCUUCCCAAUUCAGCCAGGCUCCCUUUCCAAAACAUCCUCAUCAGACAGGUGUGAACUUUCUACAGAAACAUCUCCAUUCUUGACAGCUUCCUGGAGGAAACCUGUUCGUUGGCCAGUCAGGUGUUUCAAAUAUUCUCUAGACGUUUCUUUAUAUCCUCAGCCCACUGGCCAUAGGAUCAAUAUGGCUCAAAAAUAGAUCAGCAUGAAUUUCAAGAUGGUUUCUUUUUAACUAUAAAUCCAAUCAUUAAGUAGAAUCACGUCGAGAAGACAGGA